rnacentral:rRNA from 1 species
UACAGAGGUCUCGAGCGUUGUUCGGAUUCAUUGGGCGUAAAGGGCGCGUAGGCGGCGGGGUAAGUCUGGUGUGAAAUCUCGGAGCUCAACUCCGAAAUUGCACUGGAUACUGCUCUGCUUGAGGACUGGAGAGGAGACUGGAAUUCACGGUGUAGCAGUGAAAUGCGUAGAGAUCGUGAGGAAGACCAGUGGGCGAAGGCGGGUCUCUGGAC